UUUCAUAUGAUUGAAUUAGGUGUCUUUGGACUUAAUAGGGAAUUUGGUAUAAGCCAAAGCGGUCACGCCACUGUAACAGCGAGCGACUUUGCAGAAGAACGCAUAGCGUUUUUAGUCACUGAGAUCUUUCUUGGGAAGGCGCAAAGAAACGAUGAACUGAAGCCAGGAGAACUGCCUGAUUGACAAUCGCCGAU
rnacentral:ncRNA from 21 species